rnacentral:rRNA from 1 species
CCUACGGGAGGCAGCAGUGGGGGAUAUUGCACAAUGGGGGAAACCCUGAUGCAGCGACGCCGCGUGUAGGAAGACGGUCCUCUGGAUUGUAAACCACUGUCCCCAGGGACGAAGAUGACGGUACCUAGGGAGGAAGCUCCGGCUGACUACGUGCCAGCAGCCGCGGUAAUACGUAGGGAGCGAGCGUUGUCCGGAAGUACUGGGUGUAAAGGGAGCGUAGGCGGGACUGCAAGUUGGGUGUCAAAUCUACGGGCUCAACCGGUGGCCGCACUCAAGACUGGAGUUCUUGAGUGAAGUAGAGGUAGGCGGAAUUCCAAGUGAAGCGGUGAAAUGCGUAGAUAUUAGGAGGAACACCAGUGGCGAAGGCAGCCUGCUGGGCUUUUACUGACGCUGAGGGUCGAAAGUGUGGGGAGCAAACAGGAUUAGAUACCCGAGUAGUC